rnacentral:rRNA from 1 species
ACAAUGGAGAGUUUGAUCCUGGCUCAGGAUGAACGCUAGCUACAGGCUUAACACAUGCAAGUCGAGGGGAAACGGCAUUGAGUGCUUGCACUCUUUGGACGUCGACCGGCGCACGGGUGAGUAACGCGUAUCCAACCUUCCCAUUACUGUGGGAUAACCUGCCGAAAGGCAGACUAAUACCGCAUAGUCUUCGAUGACGGCAUCAGAUUUGAAGUAAAGAUUUAUCGGUAAUGGAUGGGGAUGCGUCUGAUUAGCUUGUUGGCGGGGUAACGGCCCACCAAGGCAACGAUCAGUAGGGGUUCUGAGAGGAAGGUCCCCCACAUUGGAACUGAGACACGGUCCAAACUCCUACGGGAGGCAGCAGUGAGGAAUAUUGGUCAAUGGACGGAAGUCUGAACCAGCCAAGUAGCGUGCAGGAUGACGGCCCUAUGGGUUGUAAACUGCUUUUGUAUGGGGAUAAAGUUAGGGACGUGUCCCUAUUUGCAGGUACCAUACGAAUAAGGACCGGCUAAUUCCGUGCCAGCAGCCGCGGUAAUACGGAAGGUCCAGGCGUUAUCCGGAUUUAUUGGUUUAAAAGGCUGUCUCUUAUACACAUCUGACGCUGCC